GACAACUCUAUAUUAUUGCAGUAAUUUGAACUUUUGAAGGGAGGUAACUUUUACUUAACUAUUCAAGGUAUUUAACUCUUUCUUUUUUAUUUAUUUAAUCGCAUGACUACCGAUGAAAAUAUACCAACGAAAAAAGUAAAAUUUGGUUAUAGAAAAACACAGUUUAGUAUUAUUUGACACUUUACUCACACUGCAAAUAAGCUAUCUAUAAA